CCUACGGGGGGCUGCAGUGAGGAAUAUUGGUCAAUGGACGAGAGUCUGAACCAGCCAAGUAGCGUGAAGGAUGACUGCCCUAUGGGUUGUAAACUUCUUUUAUAUGGGAAUAAAACGUUCCACGUGUGGGAUUUUGUAUGUACCAUAUGAAUAAGGAUCGGCUAACUCCGUGCCAGCAGCCGCUGUAAUACGGAGGAUCCGAGCGUUAUCCGGAUUUAUUGGGUUUAAAGGGAGCGUAGGUGGAUUGUUAAGUCAGUUGUGAAAGUUUGCGGCUCAACCGUAAAAUUGCAGUUGAAACUGGCAGUCUUGAGUACAGUAGAGGUGGGCGGAAGGCGUGGUGUAGCGGUGAAAUGCGUAGAUAUCACGAAGAACUCCGAUUGCGAAGGCAGUUCACUGGACUGCAACUGACACUGAGGCUCGAAAGUGUGGGUAUCAAACAGGAUUAGAUACCCCUGUAGGC
rnacentral:rRNA from 1 species